rnacentral:RNase_P_RNA from 1 species
GAAGUAGAUCAGAUGGUCGCAUCUGCAUAAUGCAGGUGAGGAAAGUCCGAACUCCAUAGAGUAAGGUGCUGGGUAACGCCCAGUGAGGGCAACCUUAAGGAAUAGUCGCAACAGAAAGCAAACCGCCAGCUUAUCCGCUGGUAAGGGUGAAACGGUAGUGUAAGAGACUACCAGCAGUUGCGGUGACGUAACUGGCUAGGCAAACCCCACCUGGAGCAAGGCUGAAUAGGAGGUUCUAAGGUUACUCGCCAUCCCUCGGGUAAGCCGCUUGAGGCAUGAGGUAACUUAUGUCCCAGAUGAAUGACCAUCACCCAUUUUUGGGAACAGAAUUCGGCUUACGGUCUGCUUCUACC